UACAGAGGGUGCGAGCGUUGUCCGGAAUCAUUGGGCGUAAAGAGCGUGUAGGCGGCUCGAUAAGUCUGCUGUGAAAGUCCAGGGCUCAACCCUGGAAGGCCGGUGGAAACUGUCGGGCUAGAGUUCGGAAGAGGCGAGUGGAAUUCCCGGUGUAGCGGUGAAAUGCGCAGAUAUCGGGAGGAACACCAAUGGCGAAGGCAGCUCGCUGGGACGGUACUGACGCUGAGGCGCGAAAGCGUGGGGAGCAAACAGG
rnacentral:rRNA from 1 species